rnacentral:rRNA from 1 species
UGGGGAAUAUUGCACAAUGGGCGCAAGCCUGAUGCAGCCAUGCCGCGUGUGUGAAGAAGGCCUUCGGGUUGUAAAGCACUUUCAGCGAGGAGGAAGGUGGUGAGCUUAAUACGCUCAUCAAUUGACGUUACUCGCAGAAGAAGCACCGGCUAACUCCGUGCCAGCAGCCGCGGUAAUACGGAGGGUGCAAGCGUUAAUCGGAAUUACUGGGCGUAAAGCGCACGCAGGCGGUUUGUUAAGUCAGAUGUGAAAUCCCCGGGCUCAACCUGGGAACUGCAUUUGAAACUGGCAAGCUAGAGUCUCGUAGAGGGGGGUAGAAUUCCAGGUGUAGCGGUGAAAUGCGUAGAGAUCUGGAGGAAUACCGGUGGCGAAGGCGGCCCCCUGGACGAAGACUGACGCUCAGGUGCGAAAGCGUGGGGCAGCAAACAGAAUUAGAUACCCUGGUAGUCCACGCUGUAAAACGAUGUCGAUUUUGGAGGUUGUGCCUUGAGGCGUGGCUUCCGGAGCUAACGCGUUAAAUCGACCGCC